rnacentral:tRNA from 1 species
UACAGGGUAGCUCAAUUAGUAGAGUAAUCGCCUUGCAAGCGAAUGGUGAAGGUGCAAAUCCUUCCCCUGUA